rnacentral:snRNA from 1 species
GUGCUCGCUUCAGCAGCACACAUACUAAAAUUGGAACGAUACAGAGAAGAUUAGCAUGGCCCCUGUGCAAGGAUGACAUGUAAAUUCGUGAAGCGUUCCAUAGUUUA